CUCUCUCUACGUUCUCCAGUAGUCUUGAUCCUCUCUCUACAUCUCCAGUAUAUGAUCCUCCUUCUUUACCCUCUCCAGUAGUCUGUGAUCCUCCUCUCUACCAUUCUCCAGUAGUCUAUGAUACUCCCUCUACCAUUCUCCAUAGUAUAUGAUCCUCCUCUCUACCGUUCUCCAGUAGUCUAUGAUCCUCCUCUCUACCGUUCUCCAGUAGUCUAUGAUCCUCCUCUCUACCGUUCUCCACGUGUCUAUGAUCCUCCUCUCCACCAUAUCCCAGUAUUAUGAUCCUCCUCUCUACGUUCUCCAGUAUGAUCCCUCCAUUCUCAGUAUCUUGAUCCUCUCUUUACCUUUUCCAGUAGUCCUUUGAUCCUCCUCUCUACCAUUUCAGUAGUCUAUGCUCCCUCUCUACCAUUUCUCCAGUAGUCUAUGAUCCUCCUCUACCCUUAUCUCCAGUAGUCUGAUGUCCUCCUCUCUACCAUUCUCCAGUAGUCUAUGCUCU
rnacentral:lncRNA from 1 species